rnacentral:rRNA from 1 species
GUAGUUUGAUCCUGGCUCAGAUUGAACGCUGGCGGCAUGCCUUACACAUGCAAGUCGAACGGCAGCAUGAUCUAGCUCGCUAGAUUGAUGGCGAGUGGCGAACGGGUGAGUAAUACAUCGGAACGUGCCCUGUAGUGGGGGAUAACUAGUCGAAAGAUUAGCUAAUACCGCAUACGACCUGAGGGUGAAAGUGGGGGACCGCAAGGCCUCAUGCUAUAGGAGCGGCCGAUGUCUGAUUAGCUAGUUGGUGGGGUAAAGG